GGCUCGGAGAUGUGUAUAAGAGACAGAAAACGAUGUGAUUUUGCGUAAACAACCAGGAUGUUGGCUUAGAAGCAGCCAUUCAUUCAAAGAGUGCGUAAUAGCUCACUGGUCGAGUGAUUGUGCGCCGAAAAUGUAACGGGGCUAAACUUGACACCGAAGUCUAGGCAGAAGGAAACUUCUGGGUAGGGGAGCAACGUGUACGGGCAGAAGCAGAAGCGGAAGCGACUGUGGACUGUACAGGAGAGAGAAUGCCGGCAUGAGUAGCGAGAGCAAAGUGAGAAUCUUUGCCGUCGAAAGCCUAAGGUUUCCUGAGGAAGGCUCGUCCUCUCAGGGUAAGUCGGGACCUAAGCCGAGGACAAUAGUCGUAGGCGAUGGACAAUCGGUUAAUAUUCCGAUACCGCCGAGCAACCGGAUGCAGUGACACAGAAGGAUAGGCAGAGCGUGGCGAUGGUAGACCACGUCCAAGCAGUGAGGCUGUUGUGUAGUGAAGUACGCACAACGGAAGGCUGGGCUGUGAUGGGGAACGAUUACGAUCGGUAAGCUGCUGAAUUCACGCUGGCGAGAAAAGCUGCUACGAAGCGAAGGCGCCCGUACCGCAAACCGACACAGGUAGGCGAGGAGAGAAUCCUAAGACGAGCGGGAGAACCCUUGUUAAGGAACUCGGCAAAAUGACUCCGUAACUUAGGGAGAAGGAGUGCCCAGGAAUGGGCCGCAGAGAAUAGACCCAAGCGACUGUUUACCAAAAACACAGGUCUGUGCGAAGUAGAGAUACGACGUAUACGGGCUGACACCUGCCCAGUGCCGGAAGGUUAAGGGGAAAUGUUAGGGCAACCGAAGCAUGGAACUUAAGCCCCGGUGAACGGCGGCCGUAACUAUAACGGUCCUAAGGUAGCGAAAUUCCUUGUCGGGUAAGUUCCGACCCGCACGAAUGGUGUAACGAUUUGGGUACUGUCUCAACAAGGGACCCGGCGAAAUUGUAGUAUGUGUGAAGAUGCACAUUACCCGCGAUAGGACGGAAAGACCCCGUAGAGCUUUACUGUAGUUUAACAUUGGAUUCCGGUAACAUAUGCACAGGAUAGGUGGGAGGCGGAGAAGCAGUGAUUUCGGUUGCUGCAGAGCCGACGUUGGGAUACCACUCUUGUGUUACUGGGGUUCUAACCUGUGGCCGUGAUCCGGCACAGGAACAGUGUUAGAUGGGCAGUUUGACUGGGGCGGUCGCCUCCAAAAGAGUAACGGAGGCGUCCAAAGGUUCCCUCAGAAUGGUUGGAAACCAUUCGAAGAGUACAAAGGCAGAAGGGAGCCUGACUGCGAGACCGACAGGUCGAGCAGGGACGAAAGUCGGGCUUAGUGAUCCGGCGGUAUAGAGUGGAAUUGCCGUCGCUCAACGGAUAAAAGCUACCUCGGGGAUAACAGGCUUAUCUCCCCCAAGAGUCCACAUCGACGGGGAGGUUUGGCACCUCGAUGUCGGCUCGUCGCAUCCUGGGGCUGGAUUAGGUCCCAAGGGUUUGGCUGUUCGCCAAUUAAAGCGGCACGCGAGCUGGGUUCAGAACGUCGUGAGACAGUUCGGUCCCUAUCUGUUGCGGGCGUAAGAGAUUUGAAGGGAGCUGUCCUUAGUACGAGAGGACCGGGAUGGACUGACCGCUGGUGUACCAGUUGUUCUGCCAAGAGCAUAGCUGGGUAGCUACGUCGGGACGAGAUAAACGCUGAAGGCAUCUAAGCGUGAAACUCCCCCUAAGAUAAGAUCUCUCAUCCUUUAUGGAGUAAGGCUCGUCGUAGACUAUGACGUUGAUAGGUCAGAGGUGGAAGCGCCGUAAGGUGUGUAGCUGACUGAUACUAAUAAGCCGAGGGCUUGACCU
rnacentral:rRNA from 1 species